GGUUCCUUGGUGUAGUGGUUAGCAUGUCGCGUUUGUCAGAGGUUCUUGGCCCCUUCGGGGAGUGAAAUAUUCGUUGCCAAGGACGUACAGCCAUUAUAUGGUCUGGCACGUGUUCGACUCUGGGUUCGAUUCCCAGAAGGAAACCA